GUACGCAAGGCCCAAGAUUCCAUGUGCCACCUCCUCCACCUCACCUGCUACAAGCUCCUAUACUCUGCCAACUGUGGGGUAUUCAGCCACACAGAGGUGUGAUUCUGUUUCAUGUGCAGAGACAUUUUGGAAGGCCUCCUCUCACCUCCACAUCAAUCCCCAGAGAUACCAGAGUGGGAGUGGAGUCUGCCUCUGGAGAACGGCCAAGGUGGCUACAGUGCAGCUCUGCAUCCAUUGCCAAGGGGAGAACCUCUUCCCUCCAGCAUGAAGCCAUGUUCUUUGGGUGCGGAACAUUGUCAAGCUAUAUAGGUAUAGCUUGGCUCCUCACCCAUUAACACGGUUAUACUGCCCUUCCUCACAACAUCUUUGCCCACAGAACCCUUAGGAGAAGGUGGACUACAAACAUGGUUCACCGCCUACUGGGUGCAGGAGGUCAGCGGAAACCAGUCCCUGUCGGCGCUGAAUCCAGAAGAUUGUCUUGUUUGCUCUACUCAGUUCUCACCUAAAUAUCCAUUACCCUUUCAAUUUGUACCAAUAGUUUAUAAUUUUUCUUCAUUUAAUUUGUCUAAUGUAAAUUGUUCUUCCUCCUAUGUGCAGUGGGCUGCUUCUAGUGUUUGGAAUAAUUGUUCUUCACAAUUUAAUUCUUAUGUGUUUCCAGUUCUUAAUGCUUCAGGUCGAAGUGAUCAUAGCUUUCCUUUAAUUGAUAGUAUUAGAGUUCCAGCAUCUCAUUGUUGGGUUUUUGUUGGUAAUAGUUUAACCCCAGCCCCUACUUGGGUGGGUACUUAUUCUAAUUGUUCUAUGUGGAGUUUCUCUUAUGCUAAUACCUCCCUAACUAAACCAACUCUUACUUACACCUACCCCCCUCCCCUUAAUUGUUCUUAUUGUCUUAAUUAUAACAUUCUUUUUGGAACCUUUUAUACCUCCAUAACACAUACGUAUCUGUUCCAUGCCCAGCAUAUGCAUCAUGCUGAGGCUGCAUGUAUCAAUCGUGCAUCCAGCUUUUCCUCGGUGAACAAUAAUAGGUGGAGCCAUACCACAAUUUCUUCCUUAAGACCUGGUCAUUUUUGGAUUUGCGGUAAUGUCGCAUUUGCUGUGCUUCCUCCCAACCCCCGGGGUAUAUGCACCAUUGGCACCCUGU